CCCUUAGAUGUCCGGGGCUGCACGCGCGCUACACUGAAGGAAUCAGCGUGCUAAAACCAUUGUCGAAAGGCAUUGGUAAACCCAUUAAAAUCCCACGUGAUUGGGAUCGGGAAUUGCAAUUAUUUCCCUUGAACGAGGAAUUCCCAGUAAGUGUGGGUCAUAAGCUCGCGUUGAUUACGUCCCUGCCCUUUGUACACACCGCCCGUCGCUGCCCGGGACUGAGCCGUUUCGAGAAAAGCGGGGACUGCUGCUGUCGGGGCUUUCGGGCCUUGGCUUCGGUGGAAACCGCUUUAAUCGCAGUGGCUUGAACCGGGCAAAANUCGUAACA
rnacentral:rRNA from 1 species